CUUCAACGCUAACAGUAUAACUAUUCCUACGCACUUUCCAACCUGUUCAAAUGCCAAUUUAACUACAGAUCGCCAAUACCUCAAAAAGCAUCCUCCAUACACUAAAUGGAAAACGGUAACUUGCGACUGUUUAUGCAGCAAAAUGUUCGAUAGAAAAACAUAGCGCACUAUAACCUUUUAUCUACUAAAGUGAAUAUAGCAACGUACCAUGACCCGAAGUAUCACCACAAUAGGUUUAAGG